AAGGUUGGCUAAUCCUGGUCGGACAUCAGGAGGUUAGUGCAAUGGCAUAAGCCAGCUUGACUGCGAGCGUGACGGCGCGAGCAGGUGCGAAAGCAGGUCAUAGUGAUCCGGUGGUUCUGAAUGGAAGGGCCAUCGCUCAACGGAUAAAAGGUACUCCGGGGAUAACAGGCUGAUACCGCCCAAGAGUUCAUAUCGACGGCGGUGUUUGGCACCUCGAUGUCGGCUCAUCACAUCCUGGGGCUGAAGUAGGUCCCAAGGGUAUGGCUGUUCGCCAUUUAAAGUGGUACGCGAGCUGGGUUUAGAACGUCGUGAGACAGUUCGGUCCCUA
rnacentral:rRNA from 1 species